rnacentral:lncRNA from 1 species
UAAAAGGAAGGAUAAGUGUCCAUUUCGGGGGGGUAGUUAUGCUCUAAAAACGAAAGUUACUAUUUAUGGAAAUCAACUAUAAAAUGAAGGGUAAGUUUCCAUUUUGGGGAGAUAGUUAUGCUCUAAAAAUGAAAGUUACUAUUUAUGGAAAUCUACUAUAAAAAGAAUGGUAAGUUUCCAUUUCCGGGGGAUUCCUUUUCUGAAAAUUCAACACUAAUUGCCACAUGUCGCGACCUCAUUCGUCCCAAGUCACUAAUUUGUCCAUGUCAUUAAAGUUUUACUUUUUUCCCACCAUUUCAAAACUUUAAAAAUGCAUAGAAAAUAGCUCCGGUGUCGGAAAAAUUCACCAAAAAAUGUCACGGACCACUGGCGAGACCCACUUCACAAUUGCGUCGGAAUUUUAGUCAUCAGAAUCACAACGUGCCUACUAAUGUGGUAUAACUUGUUUGGUAGGUUAUAUGCUAGUGUACAACUUUGUGAACCAACUAUAUAGAGGAAACAAAAUUUUCAAACAUCUCGUGAAAUAGGAUGUGAUCGGUAUAGUGAAAUACGACUACGGUAGAAAAAUCACUUUGAUUCGCCAAUGUUUGGGCCCCGAUCGAAGCGGUCAACUCUAUUUACGCUUAUGCUUAACUAAGGAGAGCCCUAUCCUCGGGUGGUAAACAUCCCCAAAGUUUUACAUGGAUGGUUAUGUCUCAUCUUUGUGAAAUUUUAUUGUAUUGAAGAAUCCACCAAACUAGGUCACAAAGAGGUAGGUAAGAUAGUUUUCAUGUGAUAAGUGAAGAUGAAUUAGGGUUGACCUCUUUGAUCGAGCCCCAAACAUAGUUGAAUCGAGUUGAAUUUUAUACCAUAGCCAUGUUUCACUAUAAUGAUCACAUCAGACGGUCAAUUUUCAUUUUGUGAAUUUUAGUCAUCGGAAUCAUAACAUGCCGACUAAAGUGAUAUAACUUGUUUGGUAAAUUAUAUGCUAGUGUACAACUUUAUGAACCAACUAUAUGGAGAAAGCAAAAUUUUCAAAAAUCUCAUGAAAUAGGAUGUGAUCGGUAUAGUAAAAUACGACUACGGUAGAAAAAUCAUUUUAAUUCGCCAAUGUUUGGGCCCCGAUCGAAACGGUCAACCCUAUUUACGCUUAUACUUCACUAAGGAGAGCCCUAUCCUCGGGUGGUAAACGUCUCCAAAGUUUUACAUGGGUGGCUAUAUUUCAUCUAUGUGAGACUUUAUUGUGUUGAAGAAUCCAUCAAAGUAGGUCACGAAGAGGUAGGUAAGAUAGUUUUCGUGUAAUAAGUGAAGAUGAAUUAGGGUUAACCGUUUUGAUCGAGCCCCAAACAUUGUUGAAUCCAAUUGAAUUUUAUACCACAGCCAUGUUUCACAAUAAUGAUCACAUCAGACGUUCAAUUUUCAUUUUGUGAAUUUUAGUCAUCGGAAUCAUAACGUGCCUACUAAUGUGGUAUAACUUGUUUGAUAGGUUAUACGUUAGUGUACAACUUUGUGAACCAACUAUAUAGAGAAAGCAAAAUUUUCAAAAAUCUUGUGAAAUAGGAUGUGAUUGGUACAGUAAAAUACAACUACAGUAGAAAAAUCAUUUUAAUUCACCAAUGUUUGGGCCCCAAUCGAAACGGUCAACCCUAUUUACGCUUAUGCUUCAAUAAGGAGAGCCCUAUCCUCGGGUGGUAAACGUACCCAAAGUUUUACAUGGGUGGUUAUGUCUCAUCUAUGAGACUUUAUUAUGUUGAAGAAUCGACCAAACUAGGAAACGAAGAGGUAGGUAAGAUAGUUUUCGUGUGAUAAGUGAAGAUGAAUUAAGGUUGACCGAUUUGAUCGAGCCCCGAACAUUGUUGAAUCCAGUUCAAUUUUAUACCAUAGCCAUGUUUCACAAUAAUGAUCACAUCAGACGGCCAAUUUUCAUUUUGUGAAUUUUCAUUGAUUCAAUCUCAAGAACAAUUUUGAUUUCCAAAAAGUCUACUUUUUGUGAUUUUGCUCAUCUAAAUGGUAGACAUUUCUCAUGAAAAUAGUAGUUUUGUCUUAUGUUAAAUGUAGACUUUGCAAUUUUCACCUUCAUUUAUUGAUUCAAUCUCAAGAACAAUUUUGAUUUCCAGAAAGUCUACUUUUUUGUGAUUUUUCUCAUCUAAAUGGUAGACAUUUCUCAUGAAAAUAAUAGUUGUGUCUCAUGUGAAAUGUAGACUUUGUAACUUUCACCUUCAAUUAUUAAUUCAAUCUUAAGAACAACUUUGAUUUCCAGAAAAUCUAAUUUUUUGUGAUUUUACUCAUCUAAGUUGUAGACAUUUCUCAUGAAAAUAGUAGUUGUGUGUUAUGUUAAAGUCUAAUUUUUUGGGAUUUUGCUCAUCUAAGUAGUAGACAUUUCUCAUGAAAAUAGUAGUUGUGUCUCAUGUUACAUGUAGACUAUGCAACUUUCACCUUCAAUUGAUUCAAUCUCAAGAACUAUUUUGAUUUCUAGAAAGUCUACUUUUUUGUGAUUUU